rnacentral:lncRNA from 1 species
CAACGGCUUAUUCAUUAAUUAUUGAGGUUUAAAUCUACUAUAGGAAUUAUUAGGAUUAAUUUUAGGAUUAGGAUUCGAUUAGGAUUUGGUUUAGGAUUUAGGGUUUGGAUUAGAAUUUGAUUUAGGGUUUAGGAUUUGAUUAGGGUUUGAAUCAAGGUUUGGUUAGGGUUUAGUUAGGGUUUGAUUUAGGAUUUGGUUGGAGUUUGGUUUAAGGUUUGUUUAGGGUUUGAUUUAGGAUUUGGUUUAGGAUUUGAUUAGGGUUUAGGCUUUAGGGUGUGAAUUAGGGUUUAGAUUAGGAUUAGGAUUUGAUUAGAAUUUGGUUUAGUUUUUAGGGUUUUUUUAGGGUUUGGUUUAGGAUUUGGAUUAGGGUUUGGUUUAGAGUUUAGUUAGGAUUUUAUUAAAGGUUUAGGAUUUAGUUAUUGUUUUAUUUAGGGUUUUGGGUUUGAUUUAGGAUUUGGUUAGAAUUUGGUUUAGGAUUUGGUUGGGGUUUGGUUUAAGGUUUGUUUAGGGUUUGAUUUAGGUUUUAGGAUUUUAUUAGGAUUUAAGAUUCAAUUAGUUUUGGCCUAAAGUUUUAAUGAAGUUCAAUAGGAUUUUAACUAGAAUUAAAUUAAGAUUGAAUUGAGAUAUAUUUCAUUGAUAUUUGUGAUUCUUUUAAUAUUUAUUUAAGAAUUCUUAUUCUUUUUUUAAAAUUUCUUUGAGGUUUUUUUGAAUUUUAUUAAGCUUGCUUAGUAUUAUUAUGGUCUAAUUAGAGCAUUGUUAGUAUUCUAUUAGAAUUAGAAUUUUGUUAUUGCAAUUUCUAUUCA